CAGCUUACACAGGAUAAUUGAAUCAGCAUAACACACAGAACAAUGAGGUGAGUUCCUUGCCACAUGUUAAAUGGAUUUACAUGGGCACCUCUAAAGACACCUGGCUUCUUCCGACCCAGUCAUGAAACUGAAACUCUAGUUUCUGGAAACCCCUUGAAUAACCUCCCAUCUGGUAUCCACCCACAGAGGUAACAUAACCAAUACCUAAUGGUCAUCUCUAGGAGGCGGAUACUACAUGUGGUCCUUUGUGAAAGGAAGUGACUUAAGAAUUCUCAAUACCUUCCUAAAGCACAUGUCUCAUUGACUAUGCGGCAGCCAUCUUUAUUCACUCGACGUCACAGUGCUCACUAGGCCACCUAUAGGUCACUUCCUCCCUAAAGCACAUGUCUCAUUAAAUAUGCAGCAGCCAUCUUCUUGCUCUUAAUGUCACAUAGCUCACUACACCCCCUAUAGGUAUCAUAAGUUAUUGCACAUGGGGACACAAUAAUAGAACAUUUAUCAUUGCCCAUAACCAAUACAUCUGUGGCGAAACCAACCUCGCCACUGUGAACUGGAGAAGCCUGGUUGCUCGCCUGCUCCCUUUGGACUAUGGCCCUGCAGGUUAAACCGUUUAUUUCCCCUGCAGAAAGGCUUAUUUGUGUGAUCUGAGUGCCAUUCAUCUAAUAAUGUGCACUCAGAUCCCAGCUAUCUGGGGAUAUGUGAAAUGUCUGUGUGUUAUGUGUAAAUGUGACUUUAUGUAUUUUAAAGUGUUUUGUGUCUUUUUGCAACCAUGUGCUUAAUGGAGUCUUGUGUCUAUCCUGGGAGAUAAUUGAAUUAUUCUCCAGGAUAGAAGACUCUGAAACUGGUUUGGGCCAGAAAGCCAUGCUUCAUUUAGUCACAAAGGACUUUCCCUUAACUUUUGAACCCCUGGUCUGAUUCGUGCCAUUUUUUAAUAUGUUGUUCCCCUGAAUGGAUUGAUUAUGAAA